rnacentral:lncRNA from 1 species
GCCUUAUUACAUUUAAAAACCCAAAACUUCAAACGUAAAUAAAAGGAUGUCCAGUUCACCAGAAGAAAAUCAAACUUUCAGAAUGGGUGGCCACUCCGAAUUCCCUCACAGCUCCAAGCCCACUAUGGUUGGGGAUUUCCUGCGUGGAUGAAAAUAAAAGGGGUGAGUUUGGGGAAACUCAGUGUGUAAGGAAAACCCAUUCAAAGCCCAAGUCAGCUCAAGCCUAUGGGGCCUAAGCCCAUUCAGGUAACAGUGGUACUGGACCAGAGCCCUUUUCAGAUUACAAUAAACUGGGCCUUAGCCCCUUAUUCAGGUAACAGUAUGGUCCAUAGGCCCAUUUCAAAAUACAUGCAACAUCAAUAACAUAUGCAAGCACAUUUAGGGAGACUACUCAACCCACCAACCACUACACUCCACCCGUACCAGCCCUACACUCCAUGUGGGGAAUAGCUCAACCCACCCAGCCCAACACUCCACAGUUGCAGCCUUGCUGCUCAGUUAACAGUAAAUUGAGGCAAAGCCUCCAGUACGUGGACAAGCCAUUUUCAGUACUUCCUCCGUCAAUAUCUCAAUCCCAUUCAUCAGAUAAUAGCAACAUGGCAUGCAGUAAAUAACAACAGUCAAACAUGCAUUUAGGUCAAUUUAACCCUAUGGGUAUUUCGGUAAUUUACCUCUUAGGGUAAAACUGUAAAUUUUCUACUUUUAAAUGUAUUUCAGUAAUUUAUCUAUUUUAGGGUUUUUCAUACAUAUUCCUACUUUUCACGUACUAGCAGAAUCACGUAUCGAGGGUUCUUACCGAAUUGGGCCCGUUGGCCCAUCAUUCCAAUUUUGGCCCAUUAAGCCCAAAAAUAUCGAGGGCACAGAAAUCAUGCACUUUGCAGUCCAAACAUUGCAGCUUACCAAAAACAUUAAUCGAUUUACCUCACGAGCAUUCGCACACUCGCAAAUCUACAAAAUAUCGGUUUUUGGCAUUUCGGCUUUUUGGCUUUUGCCGAUCUAGACUAAGAAAGAGGGUGUUAGUUACACACCUGUUUGCAACGAUAUGCUAACGAGAUCCACACACGAACCGCCUACAAUUGGAUUACUAACACGUUAAUCUAACUAUUCAAAUACAAACUACGUAUUAACCCCUUACAAUAUUCGGCCAACCAGACCUGCAGAUCAUAGUAAGCUUAUAAGAAAACAAUAAGCAACUCAUUAACAAAUUUUUGUCAAUGUUUACCACAUAAUCAUAAUUUCACUGCAAGCUCUCUUCCUGAGCAACAGUCACUAAAUCAUUUAUAACUGGAGCUACAAAACUCCAAAUCAAGUUCCGUUAAUUUUCAUUGAAAAUAGACUCAUAUAUCUUCUAUCCAUAAAAUUUUCAGAAUUUUUUGCUUAGCCAAUCAAUACCAGAUUUUUCUCAAAGUUUCCCAUGUUUCACUGUUUGACUAAUCUGACCACUCUUCAUUACGAAUCAAAUUUCUCAUUGUACAGAAUUCAAAAUGUGUUCUCGUUUAUUUCAUUUGAAACUAGACUCAUUAAGCUUUAAUUACAUAAUUUAUUCACCUUCUAACACAUCUCUCACAAUUUAUGGUGAUUUUCCAAAGUCACAUUACUGCUGCUGUCCCAAGCAGAUUUAUUACCAAAUUCACUCUUUCACACAUAACUUGCAUGCUUGUUAUUCAAACAUGUAUAUCACCAAUCAAUCAUCAUAUAUCUAUGAUUUUUACUUAAGCAUAAUCUCCAUUUCAUCAUUUUAAAGCACAACAUGUUGGCCGAUUUUUCCCUUUAGCAUCUAAGGCACAUGCAUGCUCAUUUGUUUGGCUCAACUUCACAUAUCUUACAUUUUUCAUCAAAAGAACAUGAAACAACAACCAUUUCCUUCAUUUUAAUUCAUGAUCAAAUGCUCACAACACAACUAAAAAUCAAAAUAUACUUCAAGAGUUAAGGUAGAAUCAAGAAGAACUCAUGAACCUCAAAAUAGAAGCAAGGUACCAAGAACUCACCUUCAAUUUUCCUCCUCCUAAUGACCGAAUACUCAAGAGCUUUCUCCUCUCCUUUCUCUUCUCUAACUUUCAGCUAUGAUGAACAAAGAUGGACAAAACUUUGUUCUUUUCACCCCUUUUUCUUUUAAUAAAAC